CAGGUAUGUGACCAUUAACUCCAAUAUGUAUAUGUUUCAUAACUACUACAAACACUUGAACAUAAUUGUACCUAAACUAUUUGUUGGUGAUCUUGGAUGUUUGAAUAUAAUCAUACAUGUGUCUGCAGUAAGCUUGAUUGUGUUUAUAUUCUGUGUUUGAUCUUUCAUCUGCUGCAUUAUAAGUUAUGCAACAAUGGUAGUUCUGAUUUGGUAGUCGCGUUCUCUGUUUCAGUCUUCCUCUCUUGAUUUUUAGGACUUUCUUGGUGUUUGCUUAUAUUAUUGUUCUUCUCUCCUUUAUCGUUGGCAUGUGGUUAGUACUUUCUGUAUCCUAUCAUAUCUUUUCUUACAUGUUUUUUGUGCUUCCAAAUGCAGUUUUUCCUUCUUAGUUUAUUUGGAUGGCUAGGCAUGUUUCAAGGAGAAGACCUGUUAUUGCUUUAUUUUUGAAGGUAAUACCCUCCCAUUUUUUACAUCAGUAGAGGAUCCAAGGGUUUUUAAGUUUUAGAGCUUGCAUGUAAUGUCUGGCAAUUUACUUUGGGAUUGCUAGUUUGUACUAGUAUCCAUAUAUUGUGUUUGUCUAAAAUUGGUUCUGUAACGGAGAGUACUGAAGCUGUGAGAAUGUGAAAUUGUGUUGGCUGCACUGUCAUGGCAAGCUCAUGAAACGGCUCCUAGUCUCACCUUCACAGCCUCUCUCUACAUACGCUUCAUGAAACGGCUCUUCUUCCUCAUUAAUCUCUUCUUCGUUAUCAUCAUACUCUUUUUUAUGCUUUGAGGAACUAGUGCUCUGUUGGAAUUGAAAGAAGAGGAGAAGAAUUCCGUUUCGAUAAAUACUGGGUUUAGGGUCUUUGUGGGUUUUGAAAGGCUGAACAUUGGAGGGGUUUUGUUUGUGCUGCAGUUUGGAAUGUGGUUAUCUGGGCGAUUGAUUGGGAGGGUUUCAAGGAAAUGCUUUAAGGAGAGUUACAUCUUACAACCUGGAAUAUGGGCUUUUGAAUAUCAAGCCUGAAGGUUGCUCAGGAGUCAUUGGCAGAAGACUCAUUGAGGCAGCCAAAAUGAGAGCUGGGAGUUGCAGUGGUGGAAUAAAAUGUGACUUGAGUGUGGCAAUAGCCCUUACCCAAUGACAGAAUUGCCAUCACUUGAAGCUUUAUGACAUCGGAUUAUUAUCUCAACCAAGGCACCAAAAGUUGGUGAAGAUAGUGACAAGGAUUCGUCUGAAAAAUCAGAAAGGAAUGACGGUGAUAGAGAAACUGAGUGCAAAACUGCAGUUGACAUCAAACCUGUCCAUUCCGAACUCUGAAGCACCCAAGUACGUGGAACUUAUAACAAUCCACGCUGGAAAACCGUAGGGUUGUUUGGAAGAAGCUGUAAAGGUUCACACAGAGGAACAUUCUAAGGAUCUACCCCAAAGGAACACGAGUUACCUCCUUGAAUUACCAAUCGCAUGUUGGGUGGGUGCGUGGAGCUCAAAUAGUUGUGUUCAAUAUGCAGGUUAGCUUUGGAGUUUCAUGAAAUCUUAUUGGAACCUAAUAACAUGUCAAUGGCAGAGAUCGAUAAGAAAUAUAACCCGAUCUCUGGAUAUAAAAUUUUAUGACAAGGACGUGGCAAAUCACGAUUGUUGAUGAAUGGAAUGUUUAGAGCCAAUGAGGAUGCGGUUACUUGAAAAAGCCAGCCUUUUUUAUGCACAAGGGCGCAAAUGUUGAGGAUUUUUAAUCCUAAAAGGACCUUGAUAGUGGCAAAGACAUUGAAGGUGAAAGCAUACAUGGGGAAUAAAUGGCACUUGGAUUUAGGUCAAACACACUUCGAUUCGUUCGCCCCACAGACUUCUACAUAAAAGUGGGGAGUUUCUCAGACAUGGAGGAACUUCAACAUCUUAAUGCCUGGCUUAAUGAAGUGAAGUUAAAACUACUGUUAAAAAUGGUGCUGUAGAUGUGUACCGAAAAU